rnacentral:tRNA from 1 species
GCGGGCGUAGCUCAAUGGCAGAGCUCCAGCCUUCCAAGCUGGUGAUGCGGGUUCGAUUCCCGUCGCCCGCUCCA